GGUGUGCUUCAACAAUAUGAAAAAGAACAAGUGAGAGGAGAAAUGAUGAGACAAUGAAAGUUCUAGAGAUGGCCAUAUUGAGUGUGUGGAUGGAUUCAAGUACUAAAAUGAAUUUGUAUUUAUAGAAAGAGAGAGUGAAAUGUGUUCAAUGUUCAUGAAUGAAUGCGUUGUAUAAUAGUCAAAUGAAAUAUGAAUUUGAUACCAAAUAAUAUUGUUGGCACCGCAAAGUUGCUUUGGACAGGCUAAUCCAGCACACAAAGAUGAACCCCACAAGUGCGGUGCUGCAUCAUCUACUCUCUUUUUGUUGUUUUUAAUUGGUAUCCUUCUUCUAAAGCUAACCACUUCAAUUGAAUAGAAAAAUUAUAACAUUGUUAUAUUUUCAUGGUGCAUCAUAUAUAUAUGCAGAUAUAUU
rnacentral:lncRNA from 1 species